GAGCAAAGCAAGGAACAGUUUGCAAAGUCUUUUUCAGCACAGACCAGGAGGAGGUGCAAGAAGAUGACUUCUAGCAAAAAGAAUGCCAACACCUAAGUGUGCAUGUAUGAUCACUAAGUCAGCAAAACCAAUGAGACUAAACUCACAGCAAAAUAAGCAGCUGCUUGAAAGAACUGUUGCAUGGAGAGUGAUGUCCCACCUCAUGAAAGAUCUUCCUGUUUAUUUGGCUGCACUACGUGAUCUCAAGUGCCUUCGUGGAUGGUGGUAGAAAUUCCAGAAAUUUAUGGAUAUUGCUUUAGGAAACCAGGGAGCUGGCAGGAGUCGUUGGUGAAGGAGGAAAAUAUUUUCUUUGAUGCAUGCAGAAUAAUGCAGUGUCUGGAUGAUGUAUUUCAAAACAAAUGCUUCUCAACAUUUUCUCUCCUGUCUGGCUUGACUUUACAGGAUUGUCUGCAUUUAGCAUAUGCAGUGGAGUAUUUCCAGGGGUAAGGGGAAAGCCUGAGACACAUCAAGCUCUGAUUUCAGGCAUUUAAUUACAUUCCCUAACUUUUCAGUUGUAAAAAAGAAGUUAACGGCACCUCCAGCUCCAAUAAAGAUGCCAUGAAGACUUCUGUGAUGUUCCUG
rnacentral:lncRNA from 1 species